UACGAAGGGGGCUAGCGUUGUUCGGAAUUACUGGGCGUAAAGCGCACGUAGGCGGACUAUUAAGUCAGGGGUGAAAUCCCGGGGCUCAACCCCGGAACUGCCUUUGAUACUGGUAGUCUCGAGUCCGGAAGAGGUGAGUGGAAUUCCGAGUGUAGAGGUGAAACUCGUAGAUAUUCGGAAGAACACCAGUGGCGAAGGCGGCUCACUGGCCCGGUACUGACGCUGAGGUGCGAAAGCGUGGGGAGCAAACAGG
rnacentral:rRNA from 1 species